AUUGAACGCUGGCGGCAGGCCUAACACAUGCAAGUCGAACGAGUGGCGGACGGGUGAGUAAUGUCUGGGAAACUGCCCGAUGGAGGGGGAUAACUACUGGAAACGGUAUCUAAUACCGCAUUCCAUCGGAUGUGCCCUGAUGGGAUUAGCUAGUAGGUGGGGUAACGUCUCACCUAGGCGACGAUCCCUAGCUGGUCUGCGAGGAUGACCAGACACGAUGAAGCUGAGACACGGUCCAGACUCCAACGGGCGGCAGCAGUGGGGAAUAUUGCAACAUGGGAGCAAGCCUGAUGCAGCCAGGCCGCGUGUAUGAAGAAGACCUUCGGGUUGUAAAGUACUUUCAGCGAGGAGGCAUUACUCGCAGAAGAAGCACCGGCUAACUCCGUGCCAGCGGCCGCGGUAAUAC
rnacentral:rRNA from 1 species